AGUGAACGCUGGCGGUAGGCCUAACACAUGCAAGUCGAACGGCAGCACAGUAAGAGCUUGCUCUUACGGGUGGCGAGUGGCGGACGGGUGAGGAAUACAUCGGAAUCUACUUUUUCGUGGGGGAUAACGUAGGGAAACUUGCGCUAAUACCGCAUACGACCUACGGGUGAAAGCAGGGGAUCUUCGGACCUUGCGCGAUUGAAUGAGCCGAUGUCGGAUUAGCUAGUUGGCGGGGUAAAGGCCCACCAAGGCGACGAUCCGUAGCUGGUCUGAGAGGAUGAUCAGCCACACUGGAACUGAGACACGGUCCAGAACCCUACGGGAGGCAGCAGGGGGGAAUUUUGGACAAUGGGCGCAAGCCUGAUCCAGCCAUACCGCGUGGGGGAAGAAGGCCUUCGGGUUGUAAAGCCCUUUUGUUGGGAAAAAAAAGCAGCAGGUUAAUACCCCGCUGUUCUGACGGUACCAAAAGAAUAAGCACCGGCUAACUUCGU
rnacentral:rRNA from 1 species